GAUUUAGAUUUUUACAUUUUAAAGAUGGAUUCAUCUGGAAUUAUUGUGGUGUAAGAUACUGUAGAGUAGGUACUAUUUUAUUACUUUAGUGGAGGUUUUUACUUAGAUGCAACAGUUUGGUUGAAUUAUGAAUAUUUUCUAAUGUUUUAACUGUUUUUAUUGUUACACAAAGUCUUAAGUGGAGAGAGAAAAAAUGAAGAAAUCUGUCUUCUUCCAUCUUGUGACUACUGGUGAGGGAUCUUAAAUUGGUCAGAGAAGAGGAAGAGGAAAUGAAGGUUGAGCCUUUGGAAAGUACAUAGGUCAUAAGGAUGGAGCCCCAGUGAAUGACAUUAAUGCCCUUAUCAAAAGAGAGGUAGAUACAAGAUCUCUCUCUUUUUCUGCUCGUCAUCAUGUAAGGAUACCAUGGGAAACUGGCAUCUGCAAACCAGGAAGAAGGCCUUCUCUAGAACUUACCAUGAUGGCACCUUGAUGAACUUCCCAGCCUCCAGAGUCAUUAAAGAUAUAUUUCUGUUGUUUAAGCCACCUGUUAUGGCAUUCGGUUAUAGCUGCCCAGACUAACCAAUACACACAUACACACACACACACACUUUAUAUAUAAAUACAUUAACAACAUGUAAUUACAUGGUAAUAUAUAACUAUAUGAAUUUGUGUGUGUGUGUGUGUGUAUGUAUUUGUACAUAUAAGGAUAUUUAUUAUAAGAAUUUGGCUCACCAAGUUAUGAUGGCUGACAAGCCCAGAGAUCUGCGGUUGGAAAGAUACAGAACUAAGAGAGACAGUAGUGUAGCACUAGUCUGAGUUUGAAGGUCUGAGCACCAGGAAAGCUAUUAAGUUUCAGUCCAAAAGCCAACAGGUUUGACACCCUUAUAAAGCUUAUUUUUGGGGGGUUCUGAACCAAAGAAAGGAAAAGAUCGAUGUUGUAGUUCAAGGCGGUCAGAUAGAAGGAGUUCUCCCACUCCCCUUUCUUGUGGGAAGGUCAUUCAGGUCUUCAGCUGAUGAGAUGAGGGGCGUCCACAUUGAGGAGGGCAAUCUGCUUUACUCAGUCUGUCAAUUCAAUGUUAAUUUCAUCUAAUAACACUCUCAUAGACACUCAGAAUGAUGUUUGACCAAAUAUCUGGGCAUCCCAUGGCCCAGCCAAGUUGACACUUAAAAUUAACCAUCACACAGCCCUAUAGCAAAAAAUCAUUCUUUAAACAUCAUUGGUAUCAUUGUAAUAAUUGGUACAUUAGUAUACUGUAAAAACCAGGAAAAACAGUGAAAUAAAUUAUUUCUACAAAAUUGAACUUACAAAACUAUAACUGAAAUGAAAGUGACUUAAUUUUAUUAUGGGAUAUAGACUAUGGCAUUUUUAUUUUGAGUGCUAAACUUUUCUUGCCGUUCAAGUAAAUAAUCAACUUAGAUUUCCUAUGCAUGUAAAUGCUUAUGUACGCAGGAGAAAGCAGAAUGUGGGGAAAUAAAACAUUUGAAUUAUUAAACAGAUUUUUUAAAUACUUUUAGAAACUGGUCAAUGUGUCCUGGCAUCACUAUUUAACUAAUGCAAAUAUUGACUUAUUUUUUUGUUAUCUCACUUACAUGAUCAUUUGCUAUGAAGUUUUGCCUUUCAGUUUAAAAUUGUACUUGCAAAGAGCAUGCAGAUUUAGGAGUGAGGUAGUGAUUUCAUUUCAGGUCUUCUAUUGACUUGUGGGUGGAAAAUUAAGCCAGUGACAUAACCAUGGUCCUUGCCUAAACUUGCUCAUUUUAUGAACUGGAAUAAAAAUUCUUGUUAUCAAACAUUAAA